CCUACGGGUGGCAGCAGUGAGGAAUAUUGGUCAAUGGACGCAAGUCUGAACCAGCCAUGCCGCGUGCAGGAAGACGGCCCUAUGAGUUGUAAACUGCUUUUGUACGAGGGUAAACGCAGACACGCGUACCUGUCUGUAUGUAUCGUACGAAUAAGGAUCGGCGAACUUCGGGCGAGCAGCCGCGGUAAUACGGAGGAUUAAAGCGUUAUCCGGAUUUAUUGGGUUUAAAGGGUGCGUAGGCGGUCGGAUAAGUUAGAGGUGAAAGCCCGAGGCUCAACGUCGGAAUUGCCUCUGAUACUGGUCGGCUAGAGAGUAGUUACGGUAGGCGGAAUGUAUGGUGUAGCGGUGAAAUGCUUAGAGAUCAUACAGAACACCGAUUGCGAAGGCAGCUGACCAAGCUACUUCUGACGUUGAGGCACGAAAGCGCGGGGAGCAAACAGGAUUAGAUACCCGGGUAGUC
rnacentral:rRNA from 1 species